GUUCAGUCUCAACGCUGUACAGAGAGCAUCACGCCAUACGACUGAUGAUUGAGCUGUUCAAGAUUGAAAAGAGAAUUUAAACUUAUGCAUUCCAGAUGGCUGAGAUGACCCUUGUUUUAUUCAGAGCUCUGAGAACGGUCAAACAGAAAUACAACUGAAUGGAGAUGUAGAACAGAAGCUGCGUUAAGAAGAACGAUGUGUAUAUGUUCAAGUUGGAUGUCAUUGUGAGCAUGCAGACUGAGCAGGAGCCAAGAGUUGUUAUCCAGACCACAAUGGAGCAGAUCACUUUAUACCGGAGAGGUUUAAAUCUGAGAAAAGAUACAGGAUGAACC